GAUGCCCUCUGCAAGAAGCCUUUUGGAAACCCCAGAAUGACUCGGAGCCCGAGGCCCUGUUUCCUCUCCUGACCGCAUCCUGCAGCUCGCAGCUGGGGGCAGGUGCAGGAGGGGUACUGCCCGUUGGCAUCUGCCUCUGUGGCGCAGAACCCUCUUGACAGGGCACAGGCUGGUGGCAGGAGAAGCCACUGAAGAAGUUGUUGAUGCAUUUUCCCAGUCCUUCUCCCCAUUUCGACUGCCGCAACGACUUGGAGACAAGAAGCCUUCUACAGACUCGGAUCUAAAUGUUAACCUAAGUUUUUUCAAAAAUAUUACCUGAA